ACAGGAUUUUACUGAGUUUUAUUUUCUUACUAGUUAUGUCCCCCUUUUGUAGUUCAGUCCUUAUGUUUACUAUAAAAGCAUUCUGUUUAGUCAGAUUCACAUCAUAGCUACAUGUGAUCCUUCCUAAAAAUUGUAGAGGUAAUAUUUAAAUUCAAUCAGUGCUUUUUAAUUGAGAACAUUUUGUUUUCUACUAAGAAACAUUUAUGAAAGAAAAGGGUGUGACUUGCAUCUGGUAGUCCGUUAUUGAAAGAUCUAUAUUCUCAUUUGUCACUUGAGACCCCCCCAAAAAAAUGCACGGACAGAAAUUAAACUUUAGAUUUUUUUAAUUUACAUACUUUUUAGGAAAAAUAUUUCUGUUAUAUUUUUGAGUGGGGGCAGGAGGUUGUGAAGAAAAUGAAUUACUUUUAAGGUUGAUUUUUUUGAAAGCAGAGAGAUCUUCCAAUUGCUAGUUCACUCCUCAAAUGGUCCCAAUAGCUGGGGAACUCCCUCUGGACUCCCAUGAGGGUAGCAGGAAUUCAAGUACUGAAGCCAUUACCCACUGCUUCCCAGGCACAUCAGCAGGGAGCUAGAUCCAAAACCAAGUAGUCAGAACUCAAAUCCAGCAUGCUAAUAACAGUAUGCAGGAAGGCAGGUCAUGUAGCAAGUAGGGACUUAACUGCUGCUCCAUAGCACCAGCCUAUAUUUUGUUUUUAAGGUUAGUUGAUUGGCUUAUUUAUUUAUUUACUUAUUUUAUUUAAAAGGCAAAGAAAAAUCUUUUAAUUGGUUCACUCCUCCAGUACAUGCAAUAACCCAGACUGGGCCAGGCCAAAGCCAGGAGACAGGAACAUGAUCUGGGUCUCAUGUGGGUAGGAGGAACCCAAGUACUUGGGCCAUCAUCUGCUAUCUUUCAGGCAAGUUGGCAGGAAGGUGGGUCAGAAAUGCAGAUGGGGCCUGAUCUCAUGCUGUCUGGAGUGGGAUGGGGGUGUGCCAAGUGGUAAGUUAAACUACUUUGGGCCACAAAGGUUGCCCCACUGCUCACUUCUAUUUGACAUAUUAAAAAUCAUUCACUAAGAUGAAUGUCAUGGUAUCAAGUAAUUGUUCAUAAUAUAAUUUCUUUAUACCAGUUCAGUUUUUAUACCAGAAAUCCAGUUGUCAGAUUAGGAUUGGCACCCCAUGUCUGAUAAUCAUUUGUCAGCUAACCCUUUUCUCAAAGGUUGCUGUUUCAGAGCUUAUAUCUUUUGAAUGUUCAUUCCCUACUUAUGGAUGGCCUAGCAUCUCCUUGCUUCCUGACACAGUAGUAGGGUCUUUGCUACUCAAUGCAGUAGCAACAUCAAGGUGCAGUCUUGCCCUGUACUAGCAGCCAUCUGCUCCAAUCUAUCCUUCCUAUCUGAUUUCCUUCUUUCUCCUCUAAUGCCCCUUCAUCUCUUCCUCUUCUAGAUUCUUAAUGCUGCAGUUUUGACUAUCAAAAUAUCAAUUUCACUGUGAGAUCACAAAAGUUAUUAUGCAGCUAAAUUCAUCAAGAAGACUGAAGCAUAUAUUUUCAACACACAAAGAAACCACAGAACUACUGGGUGUCACGUAACAGCUGCAUUGCGGCCAACUUUUGCUCAGAGCUACACUUACUUUGGCCCCAGUGUCGUGCACUCUUACUGUAUGUAUUCCAAAGUUUUUCAAGGCUUUUCCUGGAAGAACAAUACUUGGCAACUUCAUCAAUUUUUAUGGGUGAAAGAUUGUACUUGGCAAAACUGGAUGGAGAGAGACCAAAUGAGAGAUGAUGAGCUCUUGAACUUGGGAGAUACGAAUGAGAAACAGAGCAGGUGACUGGUAAAAGGCUCAUCAAGGACUCAGGAGCCACGCUGAAGAAAUUCUUUAUCAACUUGGAUUCAGACAAGCGAAGAAAUAUGACAAUUAUUAUAAGAAUAAAAGGAUUUAUUAUAACAUUUGAGUAUACACAAGUGUGGGAAGUCUGAGAAGGAAGCCAGAGAAUCACAUCUCUAGUGACUUUAGCCCAAAGCUUGCACUGGUUUCAAAGCUUCCUGCUAAUGCAUCUGGAAAAGCAGCAAAAGAUGGCCCAAGUACCUGGUUCUCUGCCAUACACAUGGGAGACAAGGAUGCAGUUCCUGCCUCCUGGUUUCAGUCUGGCCCAGACCCUUUUGCGGCCAUGCAGGGAGUGGAUCAGCAGAUGGACAUCUCUCCCUCUCUCUGUUUCUCUGCCCUUCAAACAGUAAAAUUCUUUGUGGUGGAGCUGCUGGUGCCAGUUGGUCCAAUUCUCCUGAUCCUUCCCCUUCCAGGCACCUCAAAUAGAGGAGGAUUCAUCAAGAAUUUUGCAUGCAAGGGCCAAAUGUUUGUUAACCAAGAUGAUGAGUGCUGACACAGAUGCAGUUGGUGCUGUAAAUCAGGUGGAACUGGAAGAGCAAACACGACUUAUUCAUCAAGUCUUGGACCUCCAGCACACGCUUGAAGAUCUCUUUGCAAGAGUAGAAACAGUUAAGGAAGAAAAUAUGAAGCUAAAAUCAGAAAACCAAGUGCCUAGACACUACUUAAGAAACCUCAUGUCAAGUUCCCAUGUUUUUCACUACACAAAAAACAAAAGAACUAUUGUUGAAGCCAGAGAGGUUGAGUAUAACAGACAUGUGUAAAAGAGAAAUGUGUAAAUGAGAACAUUUAAAAUACAAUACUAAGAAAAGGAUAAAAAUCUGCCAGUCCUUUUUGUUGGCAAAAGGUGAGUCUCAUAAUUUCCUAGGUGGGUGCUAGUAACUGCCACAUACCAGUAUCCACAGAAAGUGUUCAUGGCCCAUGAAGGAGAGGAUGAAAGUAACAUUUUACUUUCACUUGCUUUGCCCUCAAAAGAUUGGUUUCUCAUCUGAGCUUUAUUUAGAUACUUGUUUUUUUUUUUUUUUUUAAAUGUAUCUCAGUGAGUUUUUAUUGAGUGUGUUCCACAAGUCAGGAGCCAUUCUAACUAGUAGAGACAAAUGAUAGACAAGAUAGAUAUAAUGUCUGUCCUCCCAGUGCUUUCCUUUUAGUGCAGGAAAGGUAUCCGAAUGAAGGGAGGGGUGAUAUGGAAUAGAAGAGGAGAAAUCACGAAUGACAAGCAUGAACGGAGUAUGAUGCUACAAAUGCCAAGUUCCAGCACUGGUGAGAUUUCUUCAGGAACCUCAGUUGAACCUGUCAUCAGUUUUUUUUCCACUACAGACACUAGUGUGGAAAAUGUAACACUGUUUUCUCAUAGUUGGAUGUAAUCUCUAUGUCAAGAACUUCUGUCUGAGGGAUAAAAUUUGAUUACUGCCAAUCAAACUUCAUUGCUCUAAGAGUUUCUGAGUAUGUCAUGCUUUAUUCAAACUCAGAAUCUGCUCUCCAUAACCGUUUUUAAUCCUCGGUUUGAGAACAAGCAUCACUUCUGUUGUUGGAUCUGGCUUAAUGUUGUGCUGUAACCUUUGAAAUGUAUCCCAUUUUACAUGGUAUUUGGGAGUUCUUUUUUCCAUCCUGGUAUCAGUCAGUAUCAAGAUACGAUUACAAUGAAGAUGCAAUCUGCUGUGGUAUCUUCUCCUUGCACACCAGAGGGCCCCUUCUAGGCAGCUGAUGUCUCUGACUUCUGUAUCCUAUAUGGGCUUUUUGAGCAGAGCUCCUUUGUCACGACAGGUCGCAGCACGCUCAUUGGGGCUGUAUCAGAUUUCUCUGCCUCCACAUCCUAAGGGGUUUAUUUGAAAGACUGCCAUUGCACUUUUCUGGAAUGAGAAUUUCUCUGGCAAAAUUCUGUGGAAUAGAAAUUUCCAUCUACUCAGGGUCCCAGAAGGGAAGUAAGCUCAGAAAUUCUUCACUGUCAGUCCUCCAAACAUUCUGGGGUUUUCUUUUAACCACCCCCAUGCUUGCCAACUUAAUUGUUUGAGGAGUUGAAUGAGACAAAUAUUCUCUCCCUACCCCCACAAACCAGUGUAAAGUUUAUAUAUUUUCUUUUACUAUGUAAAAUGAGGGAAAGUUAUUUAAAGUCAAUAAAUUUUUAUUUAAGGAUUUGCUCAUGUUGCAAUUCCUUCUGCUGUCCAUUACAGUCAUCGUAGUUCCUGUGAAUCUUCAAAGUAGUCCUUUUGAAUGAACUGAUGUUACUUGAGUUAUAGACAUACUAAUGACAACUUUAAAUUUCCUCAUGUAGGAUCUUUGGGAUAUAAUUUCUUCAAGCAAUUUAUUUUCAAGGUAUUUUUGAAGAGUAGAUGGAUUUGCCUGAUUUUCAAUUUCUGACACCUUCACGUCCAUGAAUGAAUUCACCGACUGUUCUACUUUUACUAUUGAGAUGGUAUGGGCUUAUCACACAGUUCUGUUUUAUUUUUGAGGGUGAUGGCUUAGGAAAAAUAUGGUUUAAAGACUAAUAUUUUUUAAAAUUUCAUAUAUGUUAUUCUUGCAUCCAGGUUUCUGAACUUGAAGGCCAAUAUUUGUAGUUGUUCGAGGGACAUUUCUUUGAAUGAGGGAGGUUCAACUAAUGGAAAAGAAACUCAGGGGAAAAACAUCAUUGUAUCAAGUAACACUUUACACAUUGACAUGGAUGUUCAACUGCUCUGUUGCUUUAGAAUCAAAACCAAAUCUACAUAUAACCUCUAUCUCAAGCACAUUUCUCUUUUUCUUUCACUGUUAAACUCUUCAAAUGAGAAGUCUCCAUUUUUCAACCAUUCAACAUUUAAUAGUCUCCAAUAAUGAGAUAUAUACAACUGAAAUAGAAAUACUUUACAGUUUCAUAUCUUUCCUGUUUCAAGAUUAUUAGUACAUGUCUGCCUUCAGAUAUAGAUAUUUUUAUUCUUUUCACAAGUCCAACGUUGUGAAUUCUAGACUCUCCUGCAGGGGGCGGCAAACAGUACUGCAAAUCCCUGCUCUCUAAAAGCUUAAACCUCAGGCGUGGUAGUAGGAGUUGAGUGUGACUAAAUUACAGAGGUUUUUCCACCUUAUUUAAAAAUCAACAGUAAUUUCUUUUCCUGACAUAAGGAAGAUUUUUGUGGCUACCUUUUCUUUUUGAAAUAAAAAUAGCACUGGACUGACUGUGAAAAAGAAGUAGUAUAAUUUAUUUAGGUAGUUUUGUAUUCCUCUGGUACUUGGAGAGCUUUCUUCCAGAGAAUAAGAAUUGUCCACUGCCUCUGGAUACGGGAUACUAUGACUCUUUCUGUGGGCUGUCACUUCAGUCUGACACCUAGAAUGAUACCCUUUCCAACAAAAAUGAUUUUUUGUUUAAUUUCUACUUGUGUUGUCUCCUGGGGUGCUGAUUAGGUAAAUAACUACUCUCAUUAGCUGUACAUUAUCCUUCACAGAUAUAUGUCACUUAAAUUUAAUUAUCUAAAAUUAAGUUACCCGUAAAUUAAUAGUUUUUGUUGCAAGAUAGUGUAUUUGGCUAAGAGCAGUAGAAAGAGGUAGGACCCCCCCAAUACCUAUGUACAUGAUGAAAUAAGUAAUUAUAAAACUUACAGAAGGGAGGAGAAGGGUAUAAUUAAUUUACCAGAAGCAACAAAGCAAAGGCAACAAGCUAACAAAAUAAAUAAAAAGAAAUAGGGUCAACCAAGAAACUGAAAAUAUUGGCACAUUGUAUUAGACUUUUUAACCUCCAAUUUUCAUAAGAAUCAUUGGGGAAAAUGAAUCUAGAGGAUCCUGUGAUGCCAGUAAUUUUAUCUAAUUUGGAAACAUGUGGACUGAAGAACAGUAGUUAAGUAAGUAGCCCUGAGAAAAAUGAAGACAGCCACAAAGAUAUGAACCAAUUGCAUCCUUGGAAAUUCAUCAAAGAUAAGGAGGGCCAAUAGACUCAGUAUCUUUAAUGGAACCAUACGAUAUUAGAAUGAAAACCCAUUCAUGAGUGGAUCUCAGCCCAAUAACCCAUUCAUGAGUGGAUCUCAGAAAAGAACUCAGAGGCCAGGUUUCUGGCCUGAGUAAUAUUCUCCCACAGCAGUGAUCCAACCCUGCCAUCUCUGCAGGCUCUUACCCUUGAAGGAAAGACUGGUUAUAGAUAAGAUGGGGUGUGCGUUUGGCAUAGCAGUUAAGAUGUCUGCUUGGGAUGCUUGCUUCUCACAUCAGAGUGCCUGGGUUUGAGUCCUGGAUCCUCAUCCAAUUCUAGCUUCCUGCUAAUGUGUACCCUGGGAGGCAGCAGGUGAUGGCUCAAAUAGUUGGCUCCUUGCCACUCAUGUGGAAGACCUGGAUGGAGUUCUGGGCUCUUAGCUUCAGCCUGAUUCAGCCUCAGCUGUGGGUAUAUGGGGCAUGAACCAGUGGGUGGGAGAUGUUUCUUUCUGUAUGUCUUUGUAUCUCCAUAUUUCAAAUAAAAAAUCAAAAAUAGAUAAUAUAGUAAGAGAUUCAAGGAAAAUUUAUAUAUACUACGUUUGGACAGAAAUACCUGAUAAUAAUUGUGAUCAAGAUAAAAAUAAAUGAGCCAGAGCCAUGGCUCAC